rnacentral:rRNA from 1 species
UACGUAGGGUGCAAGCGUUGUCCGGAAUUAUUGGGCGUAAAGAGCUCGUAGGCGGUUUGUCGCGUCUGCUGUGAAAUCCCGAGGCUCAACCUCGGGUCUGCAGUGGGUACGGGCAGACUGGAGUGCGGUAGGGGAGAAUGGAAUUCCUGGUGUAGCGGUGGAAUGCGCAGAUAUCAGGAGGAACACCUAUGGCGAAGGCAGCUCUCUGGGACGGUACUGACGCUGAGGCGCGAAAGCGUGGGGAGCGAACAGG